GGGCAGAGGAUGCUUUCUCUCUCUCUCUCUCUCUCUUUUUUUUUUUUUAAAGAGAGUGAGAGAGAGAGAGAAUUUUUUUUUAAU
rnacentral:miRNA from 1 species